GAUGAACGCUGGCGGCGUGCUUAACACAUGCAAGUCGAACGAUGAAGCCCAGCUUGCUGGAUGGAUUAGUGGCGAACGGGUGAGUAACACGUGAGUAACCUGCCCUUAACUCUGGGAUAAGCCUGGGAAACUGGGUCUAAUACCGGAUAGGAGCGUCCACCGCAUGGUGGGUGUUGGAAAGAUUUAUCGGUUUUGGAUGGACUCGCGGCCUAUCAGCUUGUUGGUGAGGUAAUGGCUCACCAAGGCGACGACGGGUAGCCGGCCUGAGAGGGUGACCGGCCACACUGGGACUGAGACACGGCCCAGACUCCUACGGGAGGCAGCAGUGGGGAAUAUUGCACAAUGGGCGAAAGCCUGAUGCAGCGACGCCGCGUGAGGGAUGACGGCCUUCGGGUUGUAAACCUCUUUCAGUAGGGAAGAAGCGAAAGUGACGGUACCUGCAGAAGAAGCACCGGCUAACUACGUG
rnacentral:rRNA from 1 species